AUUGAACGCUGGCGGCAGGCCUAACACAUGCAAGUCGAACGGUAACAGGAAGCAGCUUGCUGCUUUGCUGACGAGUGGCGGACGGGUGAGUAAUGUCUGGGAAACUGCCCGAUGGAGGGGGAUAACUACUGGAAACGGUAGCUAAUACCGCAUAACGUCGUAAGACCAAAGAGGGGGACCUUAGGGCCUCUUGCCAUCGGAUGUGCCCAGAUGGGAUUAGCUAGUAGGUGGGGUAACGGCUCACCUAGGCGACGAUCCCUAGCUGGUCUGAGAGGAUGACCAGCCACACUGGAACUGAGACACGGUCCAGACUCCUACGGGAGGCAGCAGUGGGGAAUAUUGCACAAUGGGCGCAAGCCUGAUGCAGCCAUGCCGCGUGUAUGAAGAAGGCCUUCGGGUUGUAAAGUACUUUCAGCGGGGAGGAAGGGAGUAAAGUUAAUACCUUUGCUUAUUGACGUUACCCGCAGAAGAAGCACCGGCUAACUCCGUG
rnacentral:rRNA from 1 species